rnacentral:rRNA from 1 species
CGCGCAGGCGGCCAGGUAAGUCGAAUGUGAAAGCCCCCGGCUCGACUGGGGAGGGUCAUUCGAUACUGCUUGGCUUGAAGGUAGGAGAGGGAAGCGGAAUUUCAGGUGUAGUGGUGAAAUGCGUAGAUAUCUGAAGGAACACCAGUGGCGAAGGCGGCUUUCUGGCCUAUUCUUGACGCUGAGGCGCGAAAGCUAGGGGAGCGAACG